CAGAAAAUAGUAUAAUUAAAAUAUUUAAAUUUUGGGGAUUUAGGCUGAGAGAUCUUUUCUGA
rnacentral:tRNA from 1 species